CCAGUUUGCUCCAAGGACCAAUCGGGUGGGCAAGCUGAGAAGGCUAAAGGGAGCGGAAGAACCUCCGUUAAGGAACUAGGCAAAAUGACCUCGUAACUUCGGGAAAAGAGGUGCUCCUAAAGGUGUCAAAACCGGAAGGAGUUGCAGUGACAAGGCCCUGCCGACUGUUUACCAAAAACACAGGUCUAUGCGAAUUCGGAAAGAAGAAGUAUAUGGACUGACGCCUGCCCAGUGCUGGAAGGUUAAGGGGAGUGGUGCAAGCUACGAACCGAAGCCCCAGUAAACGGCGGCCGUAACAAUAACGGUCCUAAGGUAGCGAAAUUCCUUGUCGGGUAAGUUCCGACCUGCAUGAAUGGCGUAACGAGUUGGGCGCUGUCUCAACGGAGGAUCCGGUGAAAUUCCAGACUGGGUGAAGAUGCCCAGGACCCGCAGUUAGACGGAAAGACCCCAUGGAGUUUUACUGUAACUUGAUAUUGUAAUUUGUUGUUAUGUGUACAGGAUAGGUGGGAGGCUAAGAGUCAAGGUCGUCAGAUUUUGAGGAGCCGACGGUGGGAUACCACCCUCAUGAUAAUGGAUUACUAACUAUUGUGUAUGAAGAGUACAGAUAGGACAGUGUUAGGUGGGCAGUUUGACUGGGGCGGUCGCAUCCUAAAGAGUAUCGGAUGCGUGCGAAGGUAGGCUCAGGUUGGUUGGAAAUCAACCGUUGAGUGCAAGGGCAAAAGCCUGCCUGACUGCGAGACUGACAGGUCGAGCAGAAGCGAAAGCUGGUCCUAGUGACCCGGCCGAUCCGAGUGGAAGGGCGGUCGAUCAACGGAUAAAAGUUACCCUGGGGAUAACAGGCUAAUCACGCCCGAGAGUUCACAUCGACGGCGUGGAUUGGCACCUCGAUGUCGGCUCAUCGCAUCCUGGGGCUGAAGCAGGUCCCAAGGGUUGUGCUGUUCGCACAUUAAAGCGGCACGUGAGCUGGGUUCAGAACGUCGUAAGACAGUUCGGUCCCUAUCUGCUGUGGGUGAAGGAAGCUUGAAGGGAGUCGCUUCUAGUACGAGAGGACCGAAGUGAGUGUACCUCUGGUGAACCAGCUGUCAGGCCAAUGGCAGGAGCUGGGUAGCUAAGUACGUAACAGAUAACCGCUGAAAGCAUCUAAGCGGGAAACUGACCCUAAGAUGGAGCUUCCCAUUCGAAAGAAGUAAGGGUUGUUCGAGACUAGGACGUUGAUAGGUCGCAGGUGUAAGUGCAGUGAUGUAUUGAGCCGAGCGAUACUAAUAGCCCGAGGCUUUG
rnacentral:rRNA from 1 species